ACGGGAGGCAGCAGUGGGGAAUAUUGCACAAUGGGCGCAAGCCUGAUGCAGCGACGCCGCGUGCGGGAUGACGGCCUUCGGGUUGUAAACCGCUUUUGAUCGGGAGCAAGCCUUCGGGUGAGUGUACCUUUCGAAUAAGCACCGGCUAACUACGUGCCAGCAGCCGCGGUAAUACGUAGGGUGCAAGCGUUAUCCGGAAUUAUUGGGCGUAAAGGGCUCGUAGGCGGUUCGUCGCGUCCGGUGUGAAAGUCCAUCGCUUAACGGUGGAUCUGCGCCGGGUACGGGCGGGCUGGAGUGCGGUAGGGGAGACUGGAAUUCCCGGUGUAACGGUGGAAUGUGUAGAUAUCGGGAAGAACACCAAUGGCGAAGGCAGGUCUCUGGGCCGUUACUGACGCUGAGGAGCGAAAGCGUGGGGAGCGAACAGGAUUAGAUACCCUGGUA
rnacentral:rRNA from 1 species